rnacentral:rRNA from 1 species
UACGAAGGGGGCUAGCGUUGCUCGGAAUUACUGGGCGUAAAGGGCGCGUAGGCGGAUACUUAAGUCGGGGGUGAAAGCCCAGGGCUCAACCCUGGAAUAGCCUUCGAUACUGGGUAUCUUGAGUUCGGGAGAGGUGAGUGGAACUCCGAGUGUAGAGGUGAAAUUCGUAGAUAUUCGGAAGAACACCAGUGGCGAAGGCGACUCACUGGCCCGAUACUGACGCUGAGGCGCGAAAGCGUGGGGAGCAAACGGG